UGUUUAUCUGCCAAUGCUGUAGUUGUUCUCUUGGACUUUUCCAGCACCUUCCACCAGUAUCUGGGAAUCGUCCAUCAACAUCCACUGAUUCCUUCAAAUUCCCAUCAUCAAGUGCUUCAUUUUCAUUUAUGGCAUACAAAUUUGAACAAUCGAGAGGCUUGCAAAGACCAAAAUCAGAAAGCUUCAUAUGCCCAUUUUUGUCCAGCAACAAGUUAUCAGGUUUUAUAUCUCUGUGAAUAUAGUUGUGUUUAUGAAUAGAUUCUAUGGCCAUCACACUUUGAGC
rnacentral:misc_RNA from 1 species